CAAUAGCGUAUAUUAAAGUUGUUGCGGUUAAAAAGCUCGUAGUUGGAUUUCUGCUGAGAACGACCGGUCCGCCCUCUGGGUGUGUAUCUGGCUCUUUCUUGGCAUCUUCUUGGUGAACGUUGCUGCACUUGACUGUGUGGAGCGCUACCCAGGACUUUUACUUUGAGGAAAUUAGAGUGUUUCAAGCAGGCAUACGCCUUGAAUACAUUAGCAUGGAAUAAUAAGAUAGGACCUCGGUUCUAUUUUGUUGGUUUCUAGAGCUGAGGUAAUGAUUAAUAGGGAUAGUUGGGGGCAUUCGUAUUUAACUGUCAGAGGGGAAAUUCUUGGAUUUGUUAAAGACGGACUACUGCGAAAGCAUUUGCCAAGGAUGUUUUCAUUGA
rnacentral:rRNA from 1 species